UUCCACUUCCUGUUUGUUGGCUAGAUAAAGCACAUAGACCUUGUUGUCUGUGUGAAAUCAUACAGGUUGAAUGGUUAAAUCUUUUUCUGAGCUGUUUGUAUGAUGUUGGUUUACAGUGACCUUGAGCUUGACCUUGUUUCUCUGUUUUGCUCUUUUGGAAUUGCACUUGUUUUGUCUUGACUCAUCUGGAUUUACUGUAUGCCUACUCUUGCCUGUACCUUGACUAACCUUUUGGAUGUGUUUUGGAUCACAGACCUUCAGAUUUUUGUGUAUGACCUGGACUGGCCUGUUCUUGACCAUUUAUGCAUUUUUCAUUAUACUGUUAAUAUACCUCUUCCAAAUGGCUCCUAACUUCCCUGGAGCGUGAUCAACUUCAAAUAGAGCCUGAAAUAGUGCACACCUGGGAGGACAUCCAUAUCAGGAUGGUUGUGCCAGACAGUGUAUCACAGUGCUGUAUUUGAAGAUCCACAUCCAGGACCAUUUCUUUCUGAACCUGAAAAACAAGCUGCAAGGAUUGCUGAUGAAAACAAAUGCUGAAAGCUGACUUCCUCCCUGGAGUUUCAGCUUCAGAUAGAAUGCACCACCAUUACAGCAAAGAGACACACUGUUUCAUCCUGGUUUUUAUCCCACAGAAAAUCAGAGAAAAUACUUGUCUUCUGAUGUUGUUUUCAUCAUAAUAUUAUUGAUUUGCCCGCACCAUUUCCCCUUAAGGGAGCCUCUGUUGCCAUCUUAAAGGCCGCUCCUACAUUAUAUUACCUUGAGUAAAAUUUGUUAGACACCCACAUGGAUCAUUAAAUAUCGUCACUAGUUCCCACAAGAUGAAGGAUAACGCGUGCUUCCUCUGAGACAGGUCUUUUUCAUUUGUAUAUUUGAACAGUUUAUUUAAUAAUUUAUUUCUCAAGGACAGUGCCCGUUAUUAAAUCGUAUCAGCUGUACUGAAUUACCAGAGUUAGCCCCAAAAAGGCUCAUUUUCAUCUGUUGUCCCUGGUCAUAUAUUAGUAGGCACAGAAAAUACAGAAUAACACUAUUAUAUAACAUAUAAAAUAUAUCUAACCCAAAAAAAGCAGACUACAGUGCUGCUAGAAAAUUUGUGAACCCUUUACAAUUUUUUGUAUUUCUGCAUA